ACGAACGCUGGCGGCGUGCUUAACACAUGCAAGUCGAACGGAAAGGCCCUGCUUUUGUGGGGUGCUCGAGUGGCGAACGGGUGAGUAACACGUGAGUAACCUGCCCUUGACUUUGGGAUAACUUCAGGAAACUGGGGCUAAUACCGGAUAGGAGCUCCUGCUGCAUGGGGGGGGUUGGAAAGUUUCGGCGGUUGGGGCUGGACUCGCGGCUUAUCAGCUUGUUGGUGGGGUAGUGGCUUACCAAGGCUUUGACGGGUAGCCGGCCUGAGAGGGUGACCGGCCACAUUGGGACUGAGAUACGGCCCAGACUCCUACGGGAGGCAGCAGUGGGGAAUAUUGCACAAUGGGCGGAAGCCUGAUGCAGCAACGCCGCGUGCGGGAUGACGGCCUUCGGGUUGUAAACCGCUUUCGCCUGUGACGAAGCGUGAGUGACGGUAAUGGGUAAAGAAGCACCGGCUAACUACGUG
rnacentral:rRNA from 1 species